rnacentral:rRNA from 1 species
UACCUACGGGAGGCAGCAGUGAGGAAUAUUGGUCAAUGGGCGCAGGCCUGAACCAGCCAAGUCGCGUGAAGGAUGACUGCCCUAUGGGUUGUAAACUUCUUUUAUAUGGGAAUAAAGUUUUCCACGUGUGGAAUUUUGUAUGUACCAUAUGAAUAAGGAUCGGCUAACUCCGUGCCAGCAGCCGCGGUAAUACGGAGGAUGCGAGCGUUAUCCGGAUUUAUUGGGUUUAAAGGGUGCGUAGGCGGAAUGCCAAGUCAGCGGUAAAAUCGCGGGGCUCAACCUCGCUCCGC